rnacentral:rRNA from 1 species
CCUACGGGUGGCUGCAGUGAGGAAUAUUGGUCAAUGGGCGCGAGCCUGAACCAGCCAAGUCGCGUGAGGGAAGACGGUCCUAUGGAUUGUAAACCUCUUUUGUCGGGGAGCAAAAGACGCCACGCGUGGCGUUCCGAGAGUACCCGACGAACAAGCAUCGGCUAACUCCGUGCCAGCAGCCGCGGUAAUACGGAGGAUGCGAGCGUUAUCCGGAUUUAUUGGGAUUAAAGGGUGCGCAGGCGGAAGAUCAAGUCAGCGGUAAAAUUGAGAGGCUCAACCUCUUCGAGCCGUUGAAACUGGUGUUCUGGAGUGAGCGAGAAGUAGGCGGAAUGCGUGGUGUAGCGGUGAAAUGCAUAGAUAUCACGCAGAACUCCGAUUGCGAAGGCAGCAUACCGGCGCUCAACUGACGCUGAGGCACGAAAGCGUGGGGAUCGAACAGGAUUAGAUACCCUGGUAGUC